rnacentral:rRNA from 1 species
UACGGAGGGUGCAAGCGUUAUCCGGAUUUACUGGGUUCAAAGGGUGCGCAGGCGGAUAUGUAAGUCAGUGGUGAAAUCUCUGGGCUUAACCCGGAAAUUGCCAUUGAUACUAUAUAUCUUGAAUGCUGUGGAGGUAAGCGGAAUAUGUCAUGUAGCGGUGAAAUGCUUAGAGAUGACAUAGAACACCUAUUGCGAAGGCAGCUUACUACGCAGAGAUUGACGCUCAUGCACGAAAGCGUGGGGAUCAAACAGG